UGGAAACUAUUUUUUAUUAAAGUAUAAUUUUAAACAUAUUAACAGCAAAAAUACACUAUUAUUUUAAUAAACAACUGAUAUGAAUGCAAUAUAUCCUAUUUACAUAACACAAAAUUCUGUUUAAACUAGAUUCAAAGCUAACUGGAAUUGAACAGAGUCAACAUACUCUAAACUAUAUACUAAGUAGUAUAUACAAUCAUUGUACAACCAGUGAACAUACAUAAGAAAUGAAGGGAAAUCUAGAACAUAAAAGAGGUCAAAAGAUACAAAAGGGACAUUCAAUAUUAAGUCACAAAAACACUGACAACCAUUUAGUAAAAAAUAAAGACAUACAACACUAUUAAAUGUCAUGCAAUGAUGAAAAAUAAUCAUAUUUUAGCAGAUCUAGAAAAUAUUUGAAGUAAAAGUCACUUUGUAUUGGACUGGUUUAAAGUAAAGCUGGUAUUGUUUUAAAUUGGACAUGUUGAAGAAGUAAAUAUUUGCAAACAAAUAUUGGUUAAAUGAUAAUAUUUCAUACAUUUGUACAUUGUAAACACAAUAACACGCAGCAUUAAUAAAAAAAAAACCACAGAUAGGACAAGAUACUCUCUUCAACACAGGAACUAAGUGUUUACACUGAAUAAUAAAGUGUAAAAGUUAAAAAAAAAAAAGGGAAUAUAAUAGAAAGGAGGACACAACAAAAGAUCAACAGGUCUUUCUGAAAAUAGAUGAGCUAUUUUUCAUUGGAUGCUUAAUGAAUGAUCAUCAACAUCAUUGUACUAAAUUAUAAUCCUGGUACCUUCGAUAACCAAUUAAUCAUACAAAUCAUAAAAGCUGACACUUUACAUAUGUCCAAUUGAAUGGUAGACCACAAAAUAAAAUUCCAUUUUUCAGUAUAUGACAAUAAUUUAAUUUAUCUAAUAUUGUUUUGGUUAAUUGAUAACCCAUCAUGUAUGUUUUUAAGUAAUUUUGGAAGCUUUUAGUAAUUGAUAGUCUGUCUAUAUUGUCUGUUUGUGUGUUCAAAAUAUAUCCAGAAGCCAACUAGACUUUCUCUGGCUUGAUUUGAAUGAAACGUAGACAGAUGGUAAGACAAUGAAGAGGGGAAGGCCAACUGAAAUAAGGUUCAAUUUCUGUUUUCUUUUGGAGGGGUAAGUUUCCUGAUGGAAACUUGAGUUUCCCUUGCUGAGCGUUGUAUCAAAAUCUUUACAGAUGCCAGCUACUGUGAAUAAGAGGACCCCUGUUACCUACAUGUUAAUUUUAUAUUUGUGCAACCAAGCUAAAAAUGAACAGCUGAUAUACUGAUUCAGCAGCAAAGAUAAAUUGGGGUGUAAACAGUCCCUGUUCAUAAUAUCUUAACUAGUUACUCAAACUAAAUAUAAGUACACUUUCCACCAACAGCAAGUAUGUAAGUUCAGUAUAAAGACUAACAGAAUUUCCAAAUAAUCAAUAUUCUAUCUAAAAAUCUAGCAUCACUAUUUUAGGUAUGAUAUGAAAAAUAGUUUUGAAUAUUGUAGUAUUGUUUUGUGAUUGGUUAACAUGUAAAUUGUAACUUCUAAUGAUUGGUUUAACUACUCAAGUGUAAGCACUAUUAAUAUGCCAUAAAAUGAUGUAUUUUCUAUUCCAUUUUAAAUCAGUCUUUGAAAUAAUAUCAGCAAUGAAGACACUUUGUGAGUCAUUCUUUUGUUAUAAUAUGUAGCAAACACUAAAACUGGUUAAUACAUAAUAGUNUAUAUCCACGAAUGCAGUUGAACAAAAGAAUCAUCACUGGAUUUGUUCUAAGUUUAAAAAUGUAUGAACAAAAUAUGUGUUGCA
rnacentral:lncRNA from 1 species